rnacentral:tRNA from 1 species
GAGGCGGACAAAUGACCUGCUAACUCCAUAUAU